rnacentral:rRNA from 1 species
UAUUGGACAAUGGGCGAAAGCCUGAUCCAGCAAUACCGCGUGUGUGAAGAAGGCCUUAGGGUUGUAAAGCACUUUCAAUUGGGAGGAAAACCUACCGGUCAAUACCCGGUAGCUUGACAUUACCUUUAGAAGAAGCACCGGCUAACUCCGUGCCAGCAGCCGCGGUAAUACGGAGGGUGCGAGCGUUAAUCGGAAUUACUGGGCGUAAAGCGUGCGUAGGCGGUUCGUUAAGUCAGAUGUGAAAGCCCUGGGCUCAACCUGGGAACUGCAUUUGGAACUGGCGGACUAGAGUUUAGUAGAGGGGAGUGGAAUUUCAGGUGUAGCGGUGAAAUGCGUAGAUAUCUGAAGGAACACCAGUGGCGAAGGCGACUCCCUGGACUAGAACUGACGCUGAGUACGAAA